GAUGAACGCUGGCGGCGUGCCUAACACAUGCAAGUCGAGCGAGAAGCUCAUGACGGACGCUUCGGUUGAAGUCACGAGUGGAAAGCGGCGGACGGGUGAGUAACGCGUAGGCAACCUGCCCUUUGCAGAGGGAUAGCCUCGGGAAACCGGGAUUAAAACCUCAUAAUACCGCAGUGAGACAUCUCACGGUGGUCAAAGAUUUAUCGGCAAAGGAUGGGCCUGCGUCUGAUUAGUUAGUUGGUGGGGUAACAGCCUACCAAGGCGACGAUCAGUAGCCGACCUGAGAGGGUGAUCGGCCACAUUGGAACUGAGACACGGUCCAAACUCCUACGGGAGGCAGCAGUGGGGAAUAUUGCACAAUGGGGGAAACCCUGAUGCAGCAACGCCGCGUGAAGGAUGAAGGCCUUUGGGUCGUAAACUUCUGUUCUAAGGGAAGAUAGUGACGGUACCUUAGGAGCAA
rnacentral:rRNA from 1 species